GACGAACGCUGGCGGCGUGCUUAACACAUGCAAGUCGAACGAAGAGCGAUGGAAGCUUGCUUCUAUCAAUCUUAGUGGCGAACGGGUGAGUAACGCGUAAUCAACCUGCCCUUCAGAGGGGGACAACAGUUGGAAACGACUGCUAAUACCGCAUACGAUCUAAUCUCGGCAUCGAGGAUAGAUGAAAGGUGGCCUCUACAUGUAAGCUAUCAUUGAAGGAGGGGAUUGCGUCUGAUUAGCUAGUUGGAGGGGUAACGGACCACCAAGGCGAUGAUCAGUAGCCGGUCUGAGAUGAUUAACGGCCACAUUGGGACUUAGACACGGCCCAGACUCCUACGGGAGGCAGCAGUAGGGAAUCUUCCGCAAUGGACGAAAGUCUGACGGAGAAACGCCGCGUGAGUGAUGACCGCCUUCGGGUUGUAAAGCUCUGUUAAUCGGGACGAAAGGCCUUCUUGCGAAUAGGGAGAAGGAUUGACGGUACCGGAAUAGAAAGCCACGGCUAACUACGUG
rnacentral:rRNA from 1 species